AAUAAAAUAAUGCUUUGGAGAUGACUGACACAAAAAUACUAAUGAAAAUAAAAUGUGAUUGAAGCAGUUGCGUCUUGGACUCUUAUAUGGGUCCUAUAUACUUAAAAGUUCCCUCAGAUAUCCCAUGAUGUCAGAAUGUAAUUCAGUGUGUCUAUUUCUGGUGUUUUUUCCUCCAUGUCUCUGACAUUGCAAUGUUACAUCUGGGAGGGAGGAACAGACCUAAAAAGAUCUUUCUGGCAUCUCUGACCAAACUGCAAUUCUUACAGAGGAAAAACUAAGAUGAAAUGCCCUGCUACAAGCUUCUCCCAUGUACAGGUCCUGGCCAUCAUGAGUGUUUUGUCUGCAUUUAUGUGUUUGCUCUACAUGUGUGCAGUUCCGGUUGGUGUCCAGAAGAGGAUGCUUGAUUCCCUGGAACUGGAGUUACAGGACACGUGAGUUGCCCGGGUGUUGCAUCACUUAUCAAGAUGAAGCAGUUCGUGGGACUGGUCUGGCAGAGGAAGGACCUAUUGACUGUGUAGUCAGAACUGUUAUACGGUGAUGAACACGAACCUUGCCUCUUGCCGCGCUCCCUUCGUCUCACAGCAUUGCAGCUGUGCUUGGCAACAGCAUGCCAGAUGGCACAGAGACAUCAAUUGAUUACUGCUCAAGAGCAAUGUCACCUACCUACAGACAAAUUGACAAAGACAAUGAGAUGUUUGCAGGCCUGCAUAAGCAAACCUACAAGUAGAUUAAUGGCUGCAUUUUGAAACUAUGUGAAGUUCAGAAACUUUGGUAGAAGAAUAAGUCUGCAAAGUUGACUAUGGAACCAUGUGUUUUGCUGGAUUAUCUUUACCAUUUGAUAUUUCUUUUCUUGUCUGUACACCUCUAGGUAUACUAUUUUUCUUUAUCACAUGUCAUUGUCAAUUCCAAGCUCUAGUUCUGCUUUGAAUUGUAUCCUUGACCAUCUUAUGGUGAUGAUCAGUUAACAUUAUAAACUUGGCCCAGAAAUAAAGGCAGCAGGCCCAGAAAUAAAGGCAUCAGAAAAAGAGCCUAAAGAAUCCCAGAAUUCACAAGCUGUCGUUGUGAGUUAUCUGUCCGCAAAGAAUGUCUUUUAUGAGUAAGUCUUGUUUUUAUAGAAGGCAUUUGUUAUCACAUUUGGUAUCCUUUUUUUCUGUAGCAUAUCUUGGAUUGUUUGCACUCAAACUUUGGCUGUGUACUGUAUCUAAUGGCCUGGAAUGGGUGCCAGUGCUGGAAAAUCACACAUGCCUUGUUACUCAGCUGAACUUCUGUAAAUAAGUCUUACUGGCUUUUGUAAAAUAUUCUCUGGAA